UACGGGGGGGGGCAAGCGUUGUUCGGAAUUACUGGGCGUAAAGGGCUCGUAGGCGGCCAACUAAGUCAUACGUGAAAUCCCUCGGCUUAACCGGGGGAACUGCGUCUGAUACUGGAUGGCUUGAGUUCGGGAGAGGGAUGCGGAAUUCCAGGUGUAGCGGUGAAAUGCGUAGAUAUCUGGAGGAACACCGGUGGCGAAGGCGGCAUCCUGGACCGAUACUGACGUGAGGAGCGAAAGCCAGGGGGAG
rnacentral:rRNA from 1 species